GCGCAGCAGUCGCGAAUUUUUCUCAAUGGGGGCAACCCUGAAGGAGCGACGCCGCGUGGAGGAUGAAGGCUUUCGGGUCGUAAACUCCUGUCAUUUGAGAACAAGUGUAGCCAAGUAACUACUGGCUACUUGAUAGUAUCAGAAGAGGAAGGGACGGCUAACUCUGUGCCAGCAGCCGCGGUAAUACAGAGGUCCCAAGCGUUGUUCGGAUUCAUUGGGCGUAAAGGGUGCGUAGGUGGCGCCGUAAGUGGGGUGUGAAAUUUCGGAGCUUAACUCCGAAACUGUAUUCCAUACUGCGGUGCUUGAGGACUGGAGAGGAGACUGGAAUUCAUGGUGUAGCAGUGAAAUGCGUAGAGAUCAUGAGGAAGACCAGUGGCGAAGGCGGGUCUCUGGACAGUUCCUGACACUGAGGCACGAAGGCCAGGGGAGCGAACGGGAUUAGAUA
rnacentral:rRNA from 1 species